rnacentral:rRNA from 1 species
AUUGUACGCUGGCGGCAUGCCUUACACAUGCAAGUCGAACGGCAGCACGGGUGCUUGCACCUGGUGGCGAGUGGCGAACGGGUGAGUAAUACAUCGGAACGUACCUUAUCGUGGGGGAUAACGCAGCGAACGCUGUGCUAAUACCGCAUACGCCCUGAGGGGGAAAGCGGGGGAUCGCAAGACCUCGCGCGAUUAGAGCGGCCGAUGCCUGAUUAGCUAGUUGGUGGGGUAAAAGCCCACCAAGGCGACGAUCAGUAGCUGGUCUGAGAGGACGAUCAGCCACACUGGGACUGAGACACGGCCCAGACUCCUACGGGAGGCAGCAGUGGGGAAUUUUGGACAAUGGGGGCAACCCUGAUCCAGCAAUGCCGCGUGAGUGAAGAAGGCCUUCGGGUUGUAAAGCUCUUUUGUCAGGGAAGAAACACCGGCUCUAACACAGUCCGGGAAUGACGGUACCUGAAGAAUAAGCACCGGCUAACUACGUGCCAGCCGCCGCCGUAA